rnacentral:rRNA from 1 species
AAAUCUGGAGGACAGGUGGCUGCAUGGCUGUCGUCAGCUCGUGUCGUGAGAUGUUGGGUUAAGUCCCGCAACGAGCGCAACCCUUGCCUUUAGUUGCCAGCAGUUCGGCUGGGCACUCUAAAGGGACUGCCGGUGUUAAACCGGAGGAAGGUGGGGAUGACGUCAAGUCCUCAUGGCCUUUAUGACCAGGGCUACACACGUACUACAAUGGCCGAUACAAAGGGCAGCGACACUGCGAGGUGAAGCCAAUCCCGUAAAAUCGGUCUCAGUCCGGAUUGGAGUCUGCAACUCGACUCCAUGAAGUUGGAAUCGCUAGUAAUCGUGGAUCAGCAUGCCACGGUGAAUACGUUCCCGGGCCUU